rnacentral:rRNA from 1 species
AACGAACGCUGGCGGCAUGCCUAACACAUGCAAGUCGAACGGGACCUUCGGGUCUAGUGGCGGAGGGGGGGGGGACGAGGGGGAAGCUGCACUUAGGUUCGGAAUAACUCACCGAGGGGGGUGCUAAGGCCGGAGGGGGUCAUAGGAGAUAGGAUCUUUCGCCGUUGGGUGGGGGCGGGUUGGAUUAGGUGGUUGGUAGUGUAAUAGCCUGCCAUGGCGACGAUGCAGAGCUGGUGGGAGAGGAGGACUCGCCACACUGGGACUGCGACACGGCCCAGACUCGUACGCAGAGCAGCAGUGGGGAAUAUUGGACAAUGAGCGCAGGCCUGAUCCAGCCAUGCCGCGUGAGUGAUGAAUGCCUUAGGGUUGUACAGCCCCCUUACCCGAGAUGUUAAUGACGGUACCGGGUGAAUAAGCACCGGCUAACUCCGUG